rnacentral:rRNA from 1 species
GACGAACGCUGGCGGCGUGCCUAAUACAUGCAAGUAGAACGCAGUUGCGAACGGGUGAGUAACGCGUAGGUAACUGCCUGGUAGCGGGGGAUAACUAUUGGAAACGAUAGCUAAUACCGCAUACUACCAGAUGGACCUGCGUUGUAUUAGCUAGUUGGUGGGGUAACGGGUCACCAAGGCAACGAUACAUUGCCGGCCUUGUGGGGUGGUCGGGCACACUGGGACUGGGACACGGCCCAGACUCCUACGGGGGGCAGCAGUAGGGGAUCUUCGGCAAUGGGGCGAAACCUGACCGAGCAACGCCGCGUGAGUGAAGAAGGGUUUCGGAUCGUAAAGCUCUGUUGUUAAGGAAGCGGUACUUAACCAGAAAGGGACGGCUAACUACGUGCCAGCAGCCGCGGUAAUAC